UCUCCGUUGGUGAACCAGCGGAGGGAUCAUUACAGAGUUUACAUCUCCCAAACCCCUGUGAACAUACCUAUCGUUGCCUCGGCGGUGCCCGCUCCGGCGGCCCGCCAGAGGACCCCCAAGCUCUUGUUUUAUACAGUAUCUUCUGAGUAACACGAUUAAAUAAAUCAAACCUUUCAACAACGGAUCUCUUGGUUCUG
rnacentral:misc_RNA from 1 species